rnacentral:rRNA from 1 species
GUGAGGAAUAUUGGUCAAUGGACGAGAGUCUGAACCAACCAAGUCGCGUGAAGGAAGACGGUUCUAUGAAUUGUAAACUUCUUUUGUGCAGGAAUAAAGUGGGUUACGUGUAACCUUUUGUAUGUACUGUACGAAUAAGGAUCGGCUAACUCCGUGCCAGCAGCCGCGGUAAUACGGAGGAUCCGAGCGUUAUCCGGAUUUAUUUGGUUUAAAGGGUGCGUAGGUGGAUUGAUAAGUCAGCGGUGAAAGUUUGCAGCUUAACUGUAAAAUUGCCGUUGAAACUGUCGGUCUUGAGUGCAAAUGAGGUAGGCGGAAUGUGUUGUGUAGCGGUGAAAUGCUUAGAUAUAACACAGAACUCCGAUUGCGAAGGCAGCUUACUGGGAUGCAACUGACACUGAUGCACGAAAGCGUGGGUAUCAAACAGGAUUAGAUACCCUAGUAGUCC